CCUACGGGAGGCAGCAGUAAGGAAUAUUGGUCAAUGGAGGCAACUCUGAACCAGCCAUGCCGCGUGCAGGAAGACAGCCCUAUGGGUCGUAAACUGCUUUUAUACGGGAAUAAACUUUGAUUCGUGAAUCAAGCUGAAUGUACCGUAAGAAUAAGGAUCGGCUAACUCCGUGCCAGCAGCCGCGGUAAUACGGAGGAUCCAAGCGUUAUCCGGAUUUAUUGGGUUUAAAGGGAGCGUAGGCGGCCUAUUAAGUCAGGGGUGAAAGACGGUGGCUCAACCAUCGCAGUGCCUUUGAUACUGAUGGGCUUGAGUAUAGUUGAGGUAGGCGGAAUGUGACAAGUAGCGGUGAAAUGCAUAGAUAUGUCACAGAACACCGAUUGCGAAGGCAGCUUACUAAGCUAUGAUUGACGCUGAGGCUCGAAAGCGUGGGGAUCAAACAGGAUUAGAUACCCUGGUAGUCCACGCCCUAAACGAUGAUAACUCGAUGUUGGCGAUAUACAGUCAGCGUCCAAGCGAAAGCGUUAAGUUAUCACCUGGGAGUACGCCCGCAGGGUGAACGUCAAAUGAAUUGACGGCUUGGAGAGNGCGAGGACGACGACGAGGGAGGAGG
rnacentral:rRNA from 1 species